GAGGAAUUUUGCGCAAUGGGGGAAACCCUGACGCAGCAACGCCACGUGAGUGAUGAAGGCUUUCGGGUCGUAAAGCUCUGUCAAGUGGGAAGAACCUGCCCAGUGCUAAUAUCACAGGGCACUGACGGUACCA
rnacentral:rRNA from 1 species